UUUGUGAGUCUUCUGUCCCCAGGGAGGUGUCAUGCUUUGUUUACUUUUGUUCUGUUGGUUAGGCGCUGCUUCUCGUUGCAAGUAUGAAUUUCAAACUGCCCUGUUCUUAUUUUAACUGUUUUCCUGGUUCUCUCCGCCCGGCAGGGAAAGACUCUCGUGUCCUUGUCGUCGGGCUCGGUGCUGUCCAAGAAGAUACGGGGACUAAAAAAAUCAUAAGAAGCAAAAUACGACUGCAGGGAAAAGAAGCUGGAGAGAACAGAAGAGCCCUGUUGUACUAAUCUUCAUACAAGUACAAAACAACAAAUCAGACCCUGUCCCAACCACUUAGAGCCCAGAACACGAUUUCCUCGGGCUGCCAUUUGUGUGCCAUCGGUACUCACCAUGGAAGGGAGCUGGGGAUUGUUGCAGCUGUUGGGAACGAACUGCUUCUCGUCACACAGAAAUGGAAUUGGGACGACGCCUCGGCCAGCCCCUCUGUGCCAUCGUCUCCUGAAUCUGCAGCAGAGCAGUUCCAGUCCAUCCGGGCACGUGUAAUCCAGUUCCUGAUGAUCUGAGCACACAGAGCAGCGCUCAGCUGCUGUGGGGGGCUCAGGGAGGGCAGAGUGUGCAUUGUCAUCUUCCUGAACCUACAGACAAAUCAAAGUGAGAAGCCACAGCGUGGAAAUCAGUCACAUAUAUGCUAAAUAAAACUUGCAGAUUUUUUUAAGAA